GACGAACGCUGGCGGCGUGCUUAACACAUGCAAGUCGAACGGCAAGGCCCUGCUUUUGUGGGGUGCUCGAGUGGCGAACGGGUGAGUAACACGUGAGUAACCUGCCCUUGACUUUGGGAUAACUUCAGGAAACUGGGGCUAAUACCGGAUAGGUGCUCCUGCUGCAUGGUGGGGGUUGGAAAGUUUCGGCGGUUGGGGAUGGACUAGCGGCUUAUCAGCUUGUUGGUGGGGUAGUGGCUUACCAAGGCUUUGACGGGUAGCCGGCCUGAGAGGGUGACCGGCCACAUUGGGACAGAGAUACGGCCCAGACUCCUACGGGAGGCAGCAGUGGGGAAUAUUGUACAAUGGGCGGAAGCCGGAGGCAGCAACGCCGCGUGCGGGAUGACGGCCUUCGGGUGGUAAACCUCGUUAGCCUGUGACGAAGCGUGAGUGACGGUAAUGGGUAAAGAAGCACCGGCUAACUACGUG
rnacentral:rRNA from 1 species